GACGAACGCUGGCGGCGCGCUUAACACAUGCAAGUCGAACGGAAAGGCCUGCUUUCCCUUGUGGAUUGCGGGUACUCGAGUGGCGAACGGGUGAGUAACACGUGAGUGAUCUGCCCCCAACUUGGGUAUAAGCCUGGGAAACUGGGUCUAAUUCCCGAUAGGACUGCAGGGUGGUGCCUGUGGUGGAAAACGAUUUUCUAGUGUUGGGGAUGAGCUCGCGGCCUAUCAGCUUGUUGGUGGGGGAAUGGCCUACCAAGGCGGCGACGGGUAGCCGGCCUGAGAGGGUGGACGGCCACAUUGGGACUGAGAUACGGCCCAGACUCCUACGGGAGGCAGCAGUGGGGAAUAUUGCACAAUGGGCGGAAGCCUGAUGCAGCGACGCCGCGUGGGGGAUGACGGCCUUCGGGUUGUAAACUCCUUUCGACCGCGAGGAAGCCACCUGGUUGGAAGGGUGGUGACGGUAGUGGUAGAAGAAGCACCGGCUAACUACGUG
rnacentral:rRNA from 1 species